rnacentral:rRNA from 1 species
AUUGAACGCUGGCGGCAGGCCUAACACAUGCAAGUCGAGCGGAUGAAGGGAGCUUGCUCCUGGAUUCAGCGGCGGACGGGUGAGUAAUGCCUAGGAAUCUGCCUGGUAGUGGGGGAUAACGUCCGGAAACGGGCGCUAAUACCGCAUACGUCCUGAGGGAGAAAGUGGGGGUUCUUCGGACCUCACGCUAUCAGAUGAGCCUAGGCCGGAUUAGCUAGUUGGUGGGGUAAAGGCCUACCAAGGCGACGAUCCGUAACUGGUCUGAGAGGAUGAUCAGUCACACUGGAACUGAGACACGGUCCAGACUCCUACGGGAGGCAGCAGUGGGGAAUAUUGGACAAUGGGCGAAAGCCUGAUCCAGCCAUGCCGCGUGUGUGAAGAAGGUCUUCGGAUUGUAAAGCACUUUAAGUUGGGAGGAAGGGCAGUAAGUUAAUACCUUGCUGUUUUGACGUUACCAACAGAAUAAGCACCGGCUAACUUCGUG